rnacentral:rRNA from 1 species
UUUUGGACAAUGGGCGCAAGCCUGAUCCAGCCAUGCCGCGUGCGGGAAGAAGGCCUUCGGGUUGUAAACCGCUUUUGUCAGGGAAGAAACGGUUUGGGCUAAUACCCCGAACUAAUGACGGUACCUGAAGAAUAAGCACCGGCUAACUACGUGCCAGCAGCCGCGGUAAUACGUAGGGUGCAAGCGUUAAUCGGAAUUACUGGGCGUAAAGCGUGCGCAGGCGGCUUUGCAAGACAGAUGUGAAAUCCCCGGGCUCAACCUGGGAACUGCAUUUGUGACUGCAAGGCUGGAGUGCGGCAGAGGGGGAUGGAAUUCCGCGUGUAGCAGUGAAAUGCAUAGAUAUGCGGAGGAACACCGAUGGCGAAGGCAAUCCCCUGGGCCUGCACUGACGCUCAUGCACGAAA